UCUCUUCUCUUCCGAUUCACAGAUUCGACGCUCAUUGAACAUCAUAGCGGAAGAUGCUGAGGUGGCAUACUAGAGAUGCUGAGCUAGCAAUUUGAGUUGGCAACACCAUAAUACUUGGAGGCGCUGGCAACACCCCUAGGCUCCUCCAUUGAGUAUCGUUUUAUAUAUAUAUAUAUAUAUAUAUGAUGGGUAUGAAAUGAAAAGGGGAAAUGAUUUGGAUUUGACAACUCCA
rnacentral:lncRNA from 1 species